ACCAUGGCAAUUCAUUGGUUAAAUAGAAUAUUGAUUAAAUAAAUUCCAUUGGAUCUGUAAAAUUUUCAUUUUUGAUUCCCUCAACAAAGCACUACAUGUACAAUUUGUGGUUAUUUUGGCAUAUGAUUUUAAUGAGCGACUUUGGCAUAUAUAUUUUAUCAUGCAAUAUACAAUGAGCAACUUUUGCACAUGAUGUUAUACAAAUAGUAGCUUUAACGAUCGAACAACAAUUUAUGGUUAGGUUCAGUACAGAAAAUUUGAAAACAUUU
rnacentral:lncRNA from 1 species